ACUCAAAUGAAUUGACGGGGACUUGCACAAGCAGAGGAUUAUGUGGUUUAAUUCGAUGAUAAACGAAGAAUCUUACCAAGGUUGGAAAUCUAACUGAAUGCGAGCAGAAACGUUCGCAGUCCCACAAGGACAGUUAGACAGGUGAUGCAUGGUCGUCGUCAGUUCGUGAUUUGAAUUGUUCCCUUAAGUGGGGUAACGAACGCAACCCUCGUUGUCUGUUAUACGUAUCAGGCGAGACUGCCCAGCUUUUAGUGGUUGAAUUGAAAAAUUCGAACAUUGGAAGCUGGGAGGAAGGCGAGGAUGACGCCAGAUCAGCAUGUCCCUUUGAUACCUUGGGCUACACACAUAAUACAAUGGCGACUACAACGCGUUGCGACGGGGAAACCCUGAGCCAAUCGUAAUAAAAGUCGCCCCAGUUCAGAUUGGGGGCUGAAACUCGACCCCAUGAAGUUGGAUUUGCUAGUAAUCGCGGGUCAGACAUACCGCGGUGAAUACGUUCUCAAGUCUUGUACACACCGCCCGU
rnacentral:rRNA from 1 species